GCAAACAUCCACAUUCCCCCACUCUGCUCUAAACCGUGUGAAGAAAGCAUUCUGCAAACCAGCUACAUCAAACUAGUAGUGGUGCUCAAGAUCCCCACCAUGGAUGCUGCUGCUGAUGUCCGAGGAGCUGUACCUUUAGUUGCUGAUGAUAAGGAACAGAAGAUGGACAUUGCUGCAAUCGGGAAGAAACUGAAGAAAUUUUCCAUGAACGACUUGGGAUCAGUUGGACCAGUCAAAGAAGAAGAAAAAAAAGGAACAUACGAAGAAGAAGGAACAUAUGAUGAAGGAGAAAC